CCAAGAAGGUCGGAGCUGGAUACUGGGGUUUCCUCUCCUGAUCUGGGGCAAGCCACCAAUUUCACACGAAGGGGCACCUGUUCCAGAGCUGAACAAGCACCUGGAUGGAGCCAGAGAACUCUGGAAGGCUGGUCAUAAAGAAUAAGCUUCGACUCCUUUUCAAAUGUCUACUUUUGGACUCCUUCAACGUCUUCAAGAAAUGUGGACUUCUGUUCAAGAUGGCAGAUCCCUUGAGUAGAAUCCUCUUUUAACAACAACAAAACACACCUUGUGAGCAGCCACACUACAGUGAACAACAAAAGUUGAGCUGCUAUGAUUACAGUGGGGGCUGGGUCUGGUUGGAGCGAGAGGCUGCCCAUCCUAUGUGACCUUUCUCUUUCUUCUCUUCCUGCUUUACAGUGGCUCCUGAAUACCUCAGCAGAACUCGUGGCCUCUCUGUGACAUGACUGAAUAAAAAGGAAUGUACCAAAACUCA